ACGACCAAGAGGUGCCCAUGGACGUGGAUCCGCCCAGCAAUAUCAGCCAGCCAACUCAAUCAGCUGAUAAUAAGCCUGCUGAGGAACCUGUAAACAGUGACAUCCAGCAAACUCAAUCAGCUGAUAUGAAGUCUGCUGAGGCUUCCAAGCUUUCAUCCAAGGAUGAA